GAUGAACGCUGGCGGCGUGCCUAAUACAUGCAAGUCGAGCGAACGGACGAGAAGCUUGCUUUUCUGAUGUUAGCGGCGGACGGGUGAGUAACACGUGGAUAACCCACCUAUAAGACUGGGAUAACUUCGGGAAACCGGAGCUAAUACCGGAUAAUAUUUUGAACCGCAUGGUUCAAAAGUGAAAGACGGUCUUGCUGUCACUUAUAGAUGGAUCCGCGCUGCAUUAGCUAGUUGGUAAGGUAACGGCUUACCAAGGCAACGAUGCAUAGCCGACCUGAGGGGGUGAUCGGCCACACUGGAACUGAGACACGGUCCAGACUCCUACGGGAGGCAGCAGUAGGGAAUCUUCCGCAAUGGGCGAAAGCCUGACGGAGCAACGCCGCGUGAGUGAUGAAGGUCUUCGGAUCGUAAAACUCUGUUAUUAGGGAAGAACAUAUGUGUAAGUAACUGUGCACAUCUUGACGGUACCUAAUCAGAAAGCCACGGCUAACUACGUG
rnacentral:rRNA from 1 species